GUCCACGCCGUAAACGUUGGGCGCUAGGUGUCGGGGACCUUCCACGUCCUCGGUGCCGCAGCUAACGCAUUAAGCGCCCCGCCUGGGGAGUACUGCCGCAAGGCUAAAACUCAAAGGAAUUGACGGGGGCCCGCACAAGCGGCGGAGCAUGUGGCUUAAUUCGACGCAACGCGAAGAACCUUACCUGGGUUUGACAUGCAGGGAAAUCCCAUAGAGAUAUGGGGUCCGCAAGGGUCCUGCACAGGUGGUGCAUGGCUGUCGU
rnacentral:rRNA from 1 species